UUGACCUCGAAUCAGGUAGGAAUACCCGCUGAACUUAAGCAUAUCAAUAAGCGGAGGAAAAGAAACCAACCGGGAUUACCUCAGUAACGGCGAGUGAAGCGGUAACAGCUCAAAUUUGAAAUCUGGCUCUUCUGGAGUCCGAGUUGUAAUUUGUAGAAGAUGCUUUGGGUUGUGGGUUCGGCCUAAGUUCCUUGGAACAGGACGUCAUAGAGGGUGAGAAUCCCGUAUGUGGCCGAGGCCCGCGCCUAUGUAAAGCUCUUUCAACGAGUCGAGUUGUUUGGGAAUGCAGCUCAAAAUGGGUGGUAAAUUUCAUCUAAAGCUAAAUAUGGGCCAGAGACCGAUAGCGCACAAGUAGAGUGAUCGAAAGAUGAAAAGCACUUUGGAAAGAGAGUUAAACAGUACGUGAAAUUGUUGAAAGGGAAGCGCUUGCAACCAGACUUGGGCGCUGCCGAUCACCCCGAGUUCUCUCGAGUGCACUCGACAGCGCACAGGCCAGCAUCGGUUCGGGUGGCUGGAUAAAGGCCGUAGGAACGUGGCUCCCUUCGGGGAGUGUUAUAGCCUACGGUGCCAUGCAGCCCAGCCGGACCGAGGACCGCGCCUUCGGGCUAGGAUGCUGGCGUAAUGGUUGUAAGCGACCCGUCUUGAAACACGGACCAAGGAGUCUAACAUCUAUGCGAGUGUUUGGGUGGUAAACCCAUACGCGGAAUGAAAGUGAACGUAGGUGAGAACCCCUUUGGGGCGCAUCAUCGACCGAUCC
rnacentral:rRNA from 1 species